rnacentral:rRNA from 1 species
CAGUCGCCACGGUAAUACGAAGGGUGCAAGCGUUAAUCGGAAUUACUGGGCGUAAAGGGCUCGCAGGCGGUUUCUUAAGUCUGAUGUGAAAGCCCCCGGCUCAACCGGGGAGGGUCAUUGGAAACUGGGAAACUUGAGUGCAGAAGAGGAGAGUGGAAUUCCACGUGUAGCGGUGAAAUGCGUAGAGAUGUGGAGGAACACCAGUGGCGAAGGCGACUCUCUGGUCUGUAACUGACGCUGAGGAGCGAAAGCGUGGGGAGCGAACAGGAUUAGAUACCCGGGUAGUCCCUGUCUCUUAUAA